rnacentral:rRNA from 1 species
UACGGGGGGAGCAAGCGUUGUUCGGAUUUACUGGGCGUAAAGGGCGCGUAGGCGGUCGUGACAAGUCACUUGUGAAAUCUCCGAGCUUAACUCGGAACGGUCAACUGAUACUGUGCGGCUAGAGUGCGGAAGGGGCAACUGGAAUUCUUGGUGUAGCGGUGAAAUGCGUAGAUAUCAAGAGGAACACCUGCGGCGAAGGCGGGUUGCUGGGCCGACACUGACGCUGAGGCGCGAAAGCCAGGGGAGCGAACGGG